UAGGAAGUGGUGUAGCGGGAGCACGGAGAGUUUUGAUCUCUCAAGCAGAGGUUCAAGCCCUCUCUUUCUAA
rnacentral:tRNA from 1 species